rnacentral:misc_RNA from 1 species
UUUCUGUAGGUGAACCUGCGGAAGGAUCAUUCAUAAUAAGUGUUUUAUGGCACUUUUUUAAAUCCAUAUCCACCUUGUGUGCAAUGUCAGGGUUGAUUUUUCUCUCGAGAGGAUCGGCCCCAAACAUCAACUAUAUCUCAACUCUUUGUCUGAAAAAUAUUAUGAAUAAAACAAUUCAAAAUACAACUUUCAACAACGGAUCUCUUGGCUCUC